rnacentral:rRNA from 1 species
AACGAACGCUGGCGGCAGGCUUAACACAUGCAAGUCGAGCGCCCCGCAAGGGGAGCGGCAGACGGGUGAGUAACGCGUGGGAACCUACCUGAAGGUACGGAACAACUCCGGGAAACUGGAGCUAAUACCGUAUGUGCCCGAAAGGGGAAAGAUUUAUCGCCUUCAGAUGGGCCCGCGUCAGAUUAGCUAGUUGGUGGGGUAAUGGCCCACCAAGGCGACGAUCUGUAGCUGGUCUGAGAGGAUGAUCAGCCACACUGGGACUGGGACACGGCCCAGACUCCGACGGGAGGCAGCAGUGGGGAAUAUUGGACAAUGGGCGCAAGCCUGAUCCAGCCAUGCCGCGUGAGUGAUGACGGCCUUAGGGUUGUAAAGCUCUUUCGACGGGGACGAUAAUGACGGUACCCGUAGAAGAAGCCCCGGCUAACUUCGUGCCAGCAGCCGCCGUAACAC